AAAUGUACUUACGCAUUAGGGUGACCAC
rnacentral:sRNA from 1 species